rnacentral:tRNA from 1 species
GGCUCCAUAGUGUGGCUGUUAGCACGUCUGCUUUACACGCAGAAGGUCCUGGGUUCACACCCCAAGUGUAGCCA